rnacentral:tRNA from 1 species
ACUCAUAUAGUAGAAUUAUACAUUGAUAUUAAAAAUCAAAAAUGGGAAAUUACUCCCUUUGAGUA